rnacentral:lncRNA from 1 species
UUUUUUUCUCCUGAUUAGAUUGGGUUAUUUCAGUUACCCUGUCAAGUUCACUGAUCAUUUCUGAUGUCUGGUCAGAUCUGUUGAACAGAUUUGAUUUUCAAAUCUCAGCUAUGAACUUUUCACCUCCGGAAUUUCUGUAUGAUUUGUUUGUAUAAUUUCUCUUUAUUGAUUACUCUAUUGUUCAUAAACUUAGUUCUUUGUCAAUUAUUUCCAUCAACUCUUUGAGAAUAUUUAAGACUCUGUAGUUAACUCUAAUUUCUGCGUUUGCUCAUGGAUGGUUUCAAUUUUUUUCACCUGUGAAUGACCCAUGGUGUUUUUGUUUGUUUGUUUGUUUGUUUUUAGGGCCGCACCCACAGCAGAUGGAAGGUCCCAGGCUAGGGGUCGAGUCCGAGCUACAGCUGCUGGUCUACACCACAGCCACAGCAACGCAGGAUCUGAGCUGUGUCUAUGACCUACACUGCAGCUUGCAGCAACGCCAGACCCUUAACGGGUACACUGAGGGAAGCCAGGGAUUGAACCCAUAUCCUCAGAGCGACAGCGUGGGGUCCUUAAGCUGCUGAGCCACAGUAGGAACCCCCACAGUUCUCUCUUCCUUUCCAUGUUUUGUAAUUGUGCGUGUGUGUGUGUGUGUGUGUGUGUGUGUUUCCCAUUUCUUGGGCCGCUCCCGCGGCAUAUGGAGGUUCCCAGGCUAGGGGUCAAAUGGGAGCUGUAGCCGCCGGCCUAUACCACAGCCACAGCUGCACCGGAUCCAAGCCACAUCUGCAACCUGUACCCCAGCUCACAGCAAUGCCGGAUCCUUAACUCACUGAGCGGGGCCAGGGAUCAAGUCCGGGUCCUCACGGAUGCGAGUCGGGUUCAUUAACCACAAGCCAGGACGGGAACUCAUUUGUUCUUUUUGAGUUGCGUAACUUCAUCUGCGUUGAGAGCACUUGCCCUCAUUUCAUGGGGUGUGGUCGCAGCUCAUGUCCUUUCUGCUGCCCCCGGCAUAUGCUUACGUCGCUGUUUUCUCUCCCUUUAGGGGUUUUCCUGGCUCUUUGCACAUCGAGUCAUUCUGGAUGGUUCUGGACAUCUUGCGUGGUCUCUGAAUCCUAUGUAAAGCCUCUAGAGAAUGUUAACUUUUUUUCUUUUUUUAAAGCAGGCACAUGAUCCAGCCAGGGUCAGACUGAACUGCCAACCUACCCGCUGUGCGCCGUGGUUCCAGGUCAGUGGUUCUCCAAGCUUGCCGAGCAGCGUGGGCAGCUCAAGGUGAGCCGGGGGGCGGUAUCCAGCUCCAGGGGGGGCUUUCUCUACCUUCCUCUAGGCCUUGAUGUCCUGUGCGUCCUGUCUCCUGACCCUCAGCUAACAGGCCCAGGUCUCGGCCCCCCCGUGACGUUACGCACCUCGUGGGGCCAGAUAAAGCCUGUCUCCCUCCCACCCCCGCCUGGACUGGCAGCGCCCCUGGUCCGGCCCCUCCGCGGGCCCACUGUCUCCAGGGUGUGCAGUGCUGAUGCCCAGGCCAUCCCAGAAGCUACGCCAGGAGACGCGGGGGGACAGUUGAGGACAGUCGUUGCUGCAGGGGCUGCUCUUCUGGGGAUGAUCCCCUGCUGUCGCUUCUUCCACGACCGAGACGGUUGCUUUGUCCCGUGAAUGCCCGAGACACAGGGCAGAGCGUGUUCACGCCAUGGGGACCUCAGGACGUGUCUCAAGUCAGAACUUCUGUGUUCACAGGUUUCGUCGUCUCACCAGAGCGCGUCUGAAACCUGCGAACACUGGUCACUGGGGACAGGAGCACGGAGGCGGGUCCACCUGGGUCUUUCCACCCCCGCACGCGGUGCAGCCUCACCUCCGCUCGGGCCUCAACUCACCACGCGGUGAUGGCACGGAGCCUCCAGAGCUGCCUCAGCCCACGAGGCACGGGGCCCAGACGCGCGCCUCCCCCAGCGGCUGCCACCCUCUGGUCUGAGGAGCUCGUCGGCUUCUACGAACCGAAGGCCUCCUCUCUCGACUCCUUUCUCGGGUGGAGGAAGGUCACCCUGCAGGAUGGCGGUCGCCUCCUCCUCCGCUCCAUUCACUUCGGCGUGAACUACGGCAUCACCAGAGCGGCUCCUCCGGAGCAAGAAGGGGCCGCGACCUAAAGCACUGGAAGCAGGGAUCCGCCGCGGACCCCGGCCCCAAAGGCGCGGCCGUCCAGGCCGCUGUCCGCACCGCCCUGCCUGUCUCUAGGGAGGGCGCCACUCUUCGCUCCGUGGGAACUGUCCUUGAAGGCGGUGCCACACCCCGGGUGACGGGCCGGGACCUGCGUGCCCGCCUGCCCCUUAGACACGGUUUCCGUCUCACAGGACGACGUGGCUCAGCUGCUUUGCAACGUCCCUUCCCAGGCUGAGCGCUGAGCCUGCAGGAGAAACGGCAGCUACGGGCUGUUCAACUCCAACUCGACGGCAACAGCCAGGCUGACUCAGCGGGGCCUGCGACCGGAGCCUGUGCCCGGGCACACGCGCUCCCCCUUCCCGCGGUGGAGCCCGGAGCUGGCACUGCUGUCGUCACAGCCGCUCCUUCCGACACUUGUUCCAGCGCACGAGGCCUCUGGCGAGCUCCGAACAGAGCAGUGCCUGCUUAAGCUUAUCCAAAGGACAAUGAUACUCUGUAUUCAAUUAAAAUUAAUAAAAAUAUUUUAUUGAGUUUCAGGAACUUGGUACGUUUAAAAUUUCAAAUCUUUGCACACAGAUCACCACUAUACCUUAUAGAAUAGUGGAGGUUAGGACCCGAAGAUUGUCACUUGUCUCCUUGUGUCACAAAGCACAGAAAUCCCAAGUCCUGACACGGCCCCACCCUCUGACCGUGACUCUGGCCUACUCUGUCGUCCUGGGAGGGGACGGUGCGAGGGGUGACGUGUCCGGAGAGCUCAACUGUCCGAGUGGAGACCCCCCGACUCGAGAGGAAGCUCAGUCCGCGCACGAACCCGGGAGGAGCCGCGUCACUCGCCUCCCGCGUGAGUCCCCCUUUUGCGUCUUGUCGGGUUCAGGGCGAAGCUGCUGAAAUGAAGUUUCUUGUCCCUGAGGGAGCGCAGACGUUUGGCAAAGGUCAGAGCAGACACUGCCUGCAGUGAGGCGCUUAGGAACAGCCGUGCGCGGCUGGGCAGGGUCCAGUGCGACGUGACCUCUGCAGCACCAGGCUUCCCCCAGGGCCACGGGAACCAGCUGUUUCUCCCAGGGCUCGGGGGCCACAGGGCUCCUGGGACUUCCGGGCUAAAUUCAAACAUAAAAAGUGCCUGCGGUGUGGUGGUUUGUUAAUCUGUGGGGUUUUCUGCCCUCUCCCUGGCAUUCUGAGAUUUCUAUGUGCCAGUGAGUAAGCCGACUGAACAAGACGGAGGAGCAGCAAAGAGACCGCCUCACCUGUGACAAGGGCGCGCGUUAGCGCCUGACAACGCAGCCUGUCCUCCUCUUCUUGGGCUCUGAGGACGGGCGCUCUCCCGACCCACGAGCCCACCAGGGAGCCCCCAGACCCACACAAUCUACACACGGGCUCGGCAUCACCCACCGACAGGCGGCGCCUGCAGGCGACGGUGGUGGGACGUGUCUCCUAGGAGCACGGGCCAGGCCAUCUGCCCGCGGGGGGCCCCGUCCACCUCCCUCCCCAGAACUCACGGUCAGGGGCUCCAGCGGCCAUCAGUGAAGCCACCCAACCUCACACGCGGACACAGCGUGAUCUGAAUGAUUUUGCCGACUGCAAACCUUCUGAGUCAAAAGAGAAACACAAACGUACAUUCCAAGGUCUCUGGAAAGUGCCUGGGAGGCAGGCUGCUGCCUGAGGCACUCGGACCCGUCCGUGCUGCAGUCUGCAAGCGAGGCUUUGCCACUGUCACACACGUGGUCUGGAGUUGACAUGAUGGUUUUGUUUUAUUUCUGAGAUGGCUGAGUUAUAAAUCCAGCUAGUGUGCAGUCAUUUCAUAAUUUUUAAUACGCAUCGUCUGCAAUAACAUUGUGACAGCUCCAUACCGUGGAUUGACACACAAUACUGAGAACAGAUUUAUCAUAUUUGGUCUUUAGGUAAAUAAUAAAUGUUUUAAAAUUGCCUAAAUAUACCAUUCUGAGCCGUUUCAUUCCACCAGGAAAAUACAGGGUUUUUUCCCCUCUCUUUAAAAAAAAUUAAAUACCAAAAUAACUACAUUUAAAUAAAUAACGUUAUGAUGAUGACAUUUAAAAAUUCACAAGAAGGCCAGCGCCCUCUUUCUGCCUGCAGGGCUGCUCAGCUCCGAGCCCGGAUCGCUCUGGGAGGCGAGUGGCUGCUUCCCGAGGAGGGCGAGGGCCGUGCGAGGCCGCCGCCU